rnacentral:rRNA from 1 species
ACCCUACGGGACGCAGCAGUGAGGAAUAUUGGUCAAUGGCCGCAGGGCUGAACCAGCCAAGUCGCGUGAGGGAUGACGGUCCUAUGGAUUGUAAACCUCUUUUGUCAGGGAGCAAAGGGCGCCACGUGUGGCGUUUUGCGAGUACCUGAAGAAAAAGCAUCGGCUAACUCCGUGCCAGCAGCCGCGGUAAUACGGAGGAUGCGAGCGUUAUCCGGAUUUAUUGGGUUUAAAGGGUGCGUAGGUGGAUCGUUAAGUCAGUGGUCAAAUUGAGGGGCUCAACCCCUUCCCGCCAUUGAAACUGGCGG